UAGAUACCAAAGCUCAGCUGUUCUCUGGGAAGGUCUGUGGAGUAAUCUCUCUCAUGUUGACCCUCUGUUUGCAGAGCCCUCACUAACUAACCACAGUGUGCUGCUUCAUUCCAUGAUCUGGGGUUCAUCCACAGUGAGAUCAACACUGAUGACAACAGGCAGACUUCUCAGUGUGAAAGAAUGAAGAGGACAUUUGGGAACCCAGAUAUCCUACAACUGCAAGAUAUGAAAAUAAAUCAGCAAGGGGCUGCUCUCAAUGCCUCCUUAUCAUAUGGCUUCUCUGGAUGGCCUCCUGGACCCUUCCAUUUGUUCCCAGACUUUACAACUCCAGGCUGGUAAAAGUGUAAUGGCAACACCAUAUCACUGAAAGACAGCUUCUAUGACUACUUUUUUUCCUUAAAUGUGUUAAGUAUGAACUCCAUGAUUUCAAAGUCCUUAUACAGAGCUUGCCCCAUAAGCACUGUAUUUAUCACUUCUAGGAUCCCAAGGACAAAGAAGAAAUAAUAGGCAACUUAAUUAUUCAGGCCAGAACUGUGCUUAAACUUCACAUAACCAUACCACCUAGUGCAGAACCUCUGCUGACUAGAUGCUCAUUAAUACAUGUUGAAUUUAAAUAGAUUGAAUAAAAUCUGGUCUUUAUCCUCUGUGCUCACUCUCUCGUCUCUUGUUCCAAUUAUUCCAUAAAUAUGUUUUUCCCUUGCUUUUAGAAAUUUGGCAGGUGGCACUUUAAUUUAAUCUGUUCUUAAAUAUUCUGACUCCAACAGAAAGGAAAGCCAUAUGUGUAUUGUGGUAGGCUAAGACCUGCAGACAUAAAGCAAAUUUGGUUCUGCAAGUGUCUGUUGAUCACCUACUAUGUGUUUAGUGUCCUACACAGCAUAGUUAUGGUCAAAUACUAUCUAUAAACAGAAUAAAUUAUUUUAGACCCCUAGAACUCAGGAAAUCAAGACUUUGAUAUUUAGAAAGUGACUAUUUCAGAGACUCUUCCUAUUUCAGAGAAGGAAUCUAAAAAAUGAGUUGGUUCUAAUUCAAGACCUGUCCCAUACUCUAAACUUGAAUGGCAACCUUCACAGAUGGUAUUUUGCCUGUUUGAACAUACCCUGGUUAGGAAUUUAACUGGCUUGUAGGAAACACAGGUCUUCUGAUCAAUAUUUUCCCUCCCUAGUCUAUAAUGGCUGUCCCACCCAUGGUCCCUACAGGUCUCUGUGUCAUAGGAGAAGUAAGAUUGGCCUUUUGCCUUCCCUUCCUUAGAAGCCAGGCCACAAUAAGAACAG
rnacentral:lncRNA from 1 species